AAUACGUUUUGACUUGAUUGAACAGUUGAAAUCAGACCAAAAUGGGAUUGAAAGCUUAACGAGAGAGGAGAUCGAACAACUGUUGCCCUAGUUGAAAUCAGACCAA
rnacentral:sRNA from 1 species